CCUCCUUGGAAUAUAGAUCUCCUCCAGCUGGACGUCGUUGUGGCCCCCUCUCCGCAUGCUGUUUUCUGGGCACUGAGAAGGAUUUUGUCAUCGUCUUCAGGGUCAUGUUGAAGAAGCACAACAUGUGACAGUAAAAUUUGCAUGAGCUUGGGACAGCUGUGUCCAGAGAAGGUUGUCUGGGUAUAUAUGUAGUAGAAACCAUCACUGGGUAUGUAGACUUUGUUGUCUAUUAGUGACAGUUGUCCCUGGUUGAUUCCGUUGUCAGUGUUAUUUGUCCAGAGGAGAUUAUUCCUG